ACAUGCGACCAUACCCAGUGGAGAAUUCGGCAUCCCGUCCGCUCUGCCCUGGACAAGUCACUGAGGGCCGGAUUAGUAGUUGGGUCGGUGACGACCAGCGAAUACCCGGUGUUGCAUGUU
rnacentral:rRNA from 1 species